rnacentral:rRNA from 1 species
AUGCCUCUUAAUUAUUGGCUAGUAUGAAUGGAUAAGCGAGAAUUGUACUGCCUCUUUAAAUUUAAUAAAAAUUACCCUUUUGGUGAGCAGGCUUCAAUUAAAAUAAAAAACAAGAAGACCCAGUAGAGCCUUAGAUAAACCUUAUUCCCAUGAAAUAAAAUUAAAUCCUAAGCUUAACGUAUUCUUCUUUUGGGGCGACUAGAGAACAACAAAACCUUCUCUAAAUCAUAAGGACCGUCGGCCUACCACAGGAUCCGCCAAGCCAUCAAAAAUAAAGGCUACCUCAGGGAUAACAGGCUAAUCUUCCUAAGGAGCCCGAAUUGACAGGAAGGAUUGGCACCUCGAUGUUGGCUUACGGGCACUUCAAGGUGCAGCCGCCUUGAUAAUAGGUUUGUUCACCCUUUACUACCCUACGU